UACAGAGGUCUCAACCGUUGUUCGGAUUCAUUGGGCGUAAAGGGUGCGUAGGCGGUCGGGUAAGUCGGAUGUGAAAUCUCAGGGCUCAACCCUGAAACUGCAUUCGGUACUGCCUGGCUAGGGUACUGGAGAGGAGACUGGAAUUUACGGUGUAGCAGUGAAAUGCGUAGAUAUCGUAAGGAAGACCAGUGGCGAAGGCGAGUCUCUGGACAGUUACCGACGCUGAGGCACGAAGGUCAGGGGAGCAAACGGG
rnacentral:rRNA from 1 species